GUUCUCCUUUACCCCUUUUGGUUAUUAACCAUGACCAGCAUCAUCAAGGAGGAUGCCUAAGCUGGGGUUAGAACUCUGAGAGAAGACGGUGUUGAGAGAAUGAGAAGACAAGCCACAAACUGGGAGAAAAUAUUUGCAAAAGACGCAUCUGAUAAAGAACUGUUAGCCAGAAUAUACAGAGAACUCUUAAAACUCAACAAUGAGAAAAUGAAAGACCUGAUUAAAAGAUGGGCCAAAAAGCUUAAGAGACACCUCAACAAGGAAGAUAUACAGAUGGCAAAUAAACAUAUGAAAAGAUGUGCCACAUCAUAUGUCAUCGGGGAAAUGCAAAUUGAAACAACGAGAUACCACUACACACCUACUAGAAUGGCUAAAAUCCGGAGCACCGACAACACCAAACGCUGAGGGGGCUGGGCAGCAGUGGGAGCUCUCGCUCACUGCUGGCGGAAGCGCAAAAAGGUGCAGUCACUCCGGAAGGCAGCUUGGCAUUUUCUUAUGAAACUAAACAUACUCUUACCUUACACUCCAGCAAUUGCGCUCCCUGGUAUUUACCCAGAGGAGUUCAAAAUAUGUCCACACAAAAACUUGCAUGUGGAUGCUUGUAGCAGCUUAUUCAUAACUGCCCAAACUUGGAAGCACUAAGUUUGUCCUUCAGUAAGUGAAUGGAUAAAUGUGGUACAUCCAGGCGAUGGAAUAAUAUUCAGGGUUAAAAAGAAGUGAGCUAUCAAGCCAUGAAAAGACAUGAAGGAAGCUUAAAUGCAUAUUACUGAGUGAAAGAAACCAAUUUGGAAAGGCUGCAGACUGUAUGAUUCCAACUAUAUGACAUUCUGGAAAAGGCAAAACUAUGGAGACAGCAAAAAAAAAAAAAUCAGUGGUUGUCAGGGGUUGGGAGAGGGAGGGAUGAAUAGACAAAGAACAGAGGAUUUUUAGGGCAGUGAAAAUACUCUGUAUGAUAUUAUAAUGAUGGAUGCAUGUCAUUAUACAUUUGUCCAAACAAAUAGAAUGUUAUACAGGAAUGAAUGGAUGAGCCCUAGUGUAAACUAUGGACUUUGGGUGAUUCGGGUUGUGUCACUGUAGAUUCAUCAGUUGUAACCAAUGUCCCACUCUGGUGAGGGGAUGUUGAUAAUGAGGGAGGCUGUGCAUGUGGGGGAAAGGGGUGUAUGGGAACUCGCUGUACCUUCCCCCCCUCAAUUUUGUUGUGAACCUAAAACUGCUCUAAAAAAUUGUCUGUAAAUAAACACUAAGGCCAUAAUGCCUUAGCAUUCAAUAGA